rnacentral:rRNA from 1 species
UACGUAGGGUGCGAGCGUUAAUCGGAAUUACUGGGCGUAAAGCGCGCGCAGGCGGCUAUCCAAGUCAGUGGUGAAAGCCCGGAGCUCAACUCCGGAACUGCCAUUGAAACUGUUUAGCUUGAGGAUGAGAGAGGUGAGUGGAAUUCCCAGUGUAGAGGUGAAAUUCGUAGAUAUUGGGAAGAACACCAGUGGCGAAGGCGGCUCACUGGUCCGGUACUGACGCUGAGGUGCGAAAGCGUGGGGAGCAAACAGG